AGUGAACGCUGGCGGUAGGCCUAACACAUGCAAGUCGAACGGCAGCACAGUAAGAGCUUGCUCUUACGGGUGGCGAGUGGCGGACGGGUGAGGAAUACAUCGGAAUCUACUUUUUCGUGGGGGAUAACGUAGGGAAACUUACGCUAAUACCGCAUACGACCUACGGGUGAAAGCAGGGGAUCUUCGGACCUUGCGCGAUUGAAUGAGCCGAUGUCGGAUUAGCUAGUUGGCGGGGUAAAGGCCCACCAAGGCGACGAUCCGUAGCUGGUCUGAGAGGAUGAUCAGCCACACUGGAACUGAGACACGGUCCAGACUCCUACGGGAGGCAGCAGUGGGGAAUAUUGGACAAUGGGCGCAAGCCUGAUCCAGCCAUACCGCGUGGGUGAAGAAGGCCUUCGGGUUGUAAAGCCCUUUUGAUGGGAAAGAAAUCCAGCCGGCUAAUACCUGGUUGGGAUGACGGUACCCAAAGAAUAAGCACCGGCUAACUUCGUG
rnacentral:rRNA from 1 species